rnacentral:lncRNA from 1 species
CAUCAUUUAAAAGGUUUUAUUUUUAAUUGUAAUUAGUCAAGGUAAACUUGAUCUACUUCUGCUUGCAGGGAACCUACUGGAACUGUUCCCACUGAGUUCAGUGAAUGCAAGAUCAGACUUGCCUGGCUGGCUGUUGCAGAGAGCUGUUGUUUCUGAUGAGACUUCCUGGUCAGGUGAUUUUAUUUGAGAUGAAAUCUGUAAUUUCCAAUCAUUUUUCCAUUCGAAUCUAUUAAUUUGCUGUGGCAAAGUUCCUGAGUAACCUCUGCCGACUGACUGACCCCCUCUGACUUUUGACCAAAUGUUCAAAUAGUUUUCCUAUUAGCAAUAGCCAGACACAGAGUUUUGGAUGGAACUUUGUAACAAGGAUUAUGUUUUGGCUUUUUAUUUGCAUGGUCUAAUUUCCCCCCUCAAAGACUGUUUCUAAUUCUCUUGAGAUUUCUCUCUUAUGAGAAAAAAAAAGUAGCACAGAAGAUGAAUUGCCAUAUAGUCAACGAAACAUUUUGGCUGCAAUCUGCUACCAGAAGUUCUUCCUGAGUCUCUGAGAACAUACCCUGUGACAGAGGAGAGAAAAUGAAGAACCUCAAGGAAAGAUGGAUAAAAUUCCUCUUCUUCCAGGGUCAGUCUUGCCUGUGGAAAGUUCCUGUGCAGAGCAGGAUCCUUGGCAAGAAUUCACCUCCCCCAGAAUGCAGCAAGUCUGGCUGCUUGUGCAGGGGAAGGUGCCAAAGGAGCCUGUGCACAGCUUGGGUCACAAGCUUCCCUCAGAGCAGGUGUUUGGUUUUCUUGCAGAGCAGCUGUGACUGCACUACGUUUUGCAGCAUGGAUGAGCAGCUGAUGUGGGUGUGCACAACAAAACAGCCCUUGGAAUUUCUGAACAAACAUCUCACACUUGGGCACUUUCAAUUUGCAGGGAACCUGAGUAAGAUCAUCCCUCUGUCCUCUUUUUCCUAUGUUCCUGUUCUUUUGUUGUAG